GGGACCAGCAGGAUUGAAAGGAAGCGAGGGUCCCAUCGGCCCAACUGGCCCCAUUGGAUCUGCCGGUGAACGAGGACCUGCUGGACCUGCUGGACCAAUUGGUCUUCCUGGUCGUCCCGGUCCUCAAGGGGGUCUUGGUCCUGCUGGAGAGAAGGGAGCUCCUGGGGAAAAAGGACCCCCGGGUCCAGCCGGUCGGGAUGGGGUGCAGGGACCAGUUGGUUUGCCUGGUCCUGCUGGGCCACAGGGACCUCCAGGAGAAGAUGGUGACAAGGUGAGCGAG